rnacentral:rRNA from 1 species
UACGUAGGGACCAAGCGUUGUCCGGAAUCAUUGGGCGUAAAGAGCGUGUAGGCGGCUUGUUAAGUCUUGCGUGAAAUCUCGGGGCUCAACCCCGAGCGGUCGUGAGAAACUGGCAGGCUAGAGUGCGGGAGAGGAGAGUGGAAUUCCUGGUGUAGCGGUGAAAUGCGCAGAUAUCAGGAGGAACACCGGUGGCGAAGGCGGGUCUCUGGGCCGAUAUUGACGCUGAGGAGCGAAAGCGUGGGGAGCGAACAGG